AGUAGGACGCACAGUUUAUACCGUAGCUUGCUACACCAUAGACUGUGAGUUGCGAACGGGUGAGUAACGCGUAGGUAACCUGCCUAUUAGAGGGGGAUAACUAUUGGAAACGAUAGCUAAUACCGCAUAACAGUAUGUAACACAUGUUAGAUGCUUGAAAGAUGCAAUUGCAUCGCUAGUAGAUGGACCUGCGUUGUAUUAGCUAGUAGGUAGGGUAAUGGCCUACCUAGGCGACGAUACAUAGCCGACCUGAGAGGGUGAUCGGCCACACUGGGACUGAGACACGGCCCAGACUCCUACGGGAGGCAGCAGUAGGGAAUCUUCGGCAAUGGGGGGAACCCUGACCGAGCAACGCCGCGUGAGUGAAGAAGGUUUUCGGAUCGUAAAGCUCUGUUGUUAAGGAAGAACGAGUGUGAGAAUGGAAAGUUCAUACUGUGACGGUACUUAACCAGAAAGGGACGGCUAACUACGUGCCAGCAGCCGCGGUAAUACGUAGGUCCCGAGCGUUGUCCGGAUUUAUUGGGCGUAAAGCGAGCGCAGGCGGUUAGAAAAGUCUGAAGUGAAAGGCAGUGGCUCAACCAUUGUAGGCUUUGGAAACUGUUUAACUUGAGUGCAGAAGGGGAGAGUGGAAUUCCAUGUGUAGCGGUGAAAUGCGUAGAUAUAUGGAGGAACACCGGUGGCGAAAGCGGCUCUCUGGUCUGUAACUGACGCUGAGGCUCGAAAGCGUGGGGAGCGAACAGGAUUAGAUACCCUGGUAGUCCACGCCCGUAACGAUGAGUGCUAGGUGUUUGGUCCUUUCGGGACUCAGUGCCGCAGCUAACGCAUU
rnacentral:rRNA from 1 species